rfam:Triticum aestivum genome assembly, contig: Triticum_aestivum_CS42_TGACv1_scaffold_500255_6BL
UAACUACUUUCUUUGUCCGAAAAUACUUAUCAUCAAAAUGAAUAAAAAAUGAUGUAUUCAGAUGUAUUUUAGUUUUAGAUAUAUACUUUUUUAUCUAUUUUGAUGACAAGUAUUUUCGGACGGAGGAAGUACUUU